rnacentral:misc_RNA from 2 species
AACGCACCUUGCGCUCCUUGGUAUUCCGAGGAGCAUGCCUGUUUGAGUGUCAUGAAAUUCUCAACUACCUUUUAGCAUUUAUGUUAAGGUGAAGUUGGAUUUGGAGGAUAAUUGCUGGCGCAACUUGGGUUGCUUGUUGGCUCCUCUUGAAUGGAUGAGCUUUUCUGAUAGAUCAUGGCUUAGUAACACUAAUGUGAUAAUUAUCUACGUUAGAUGUGAAAGUUGUGAGUAGAGUGACUUCAAUUAUGGAGGAGCUCCUAUAGAAAAGGUAUAUCUUAGGGAUAAAACCCUUGACUUUGACAAAUCUGACCUCAAAUCAGGUAGGACUACCCGCUGAACUUAA